rnacentral:rRNA from 1 species
UACGUAGGGUGCAAGCGUUUGUCCGGAAUUAUUGGGCGUAAAGAGCCCGUAGGCGGUCUGUCGCGUCGGCUGUGAAAACCCGGGGCUCAACCCCGGGCCUGCAGUCGAUACGGGCGGACUUGAGUGUUGCAGGGGAGACUGGAAUUCCUGGUGUAGCGGUGAAAUGCGCAGAUAUCAGGAGGAACACCGGUGGCGAAGGCGGGUCUCUGGGCAACUACUGACGCUGAGGAGCGAAAGCGUGGGGAGCGAACAGG